GGAUGGACAUACCUCUGGUGUACCAGUUGUCGUGCCAACGGCAUAGCUGGGUAGCUAUGUAUGGACGGGAUAAGUGCUGAAAGCAUCUAAGCAUGAAGCCCCCCUCAAGAUGAGAUUUCCCAACUUCGGUUAUAAGAUCCCUCAAAGAUGAUGAGGUUAAUAGGUUCGAGGUGGAAGCGUGGUGACACGUGGAGCUGACGAAUACUAAUCGAUCGAAGACUUAAUCAAAAUU
rnacentral:rRNA from 1 species